GCCUACGGACGCAGCAGUGAGGAAUAUUGGUCAAUGGGCGCGAGCCUGAACCAGCCAAGUCGCGUGAGGGAAGACGGUCCUAUGGAUUGUAAACCUCUUUUGUCGGGGAGCAAAAGACGCCACGUGUGGCGUUCCGAGAGUACCUGAAGAAAAAGCAUCGGCUAACUCCGUGCCAGCAGCAGCGGUAAUACGGAGGAUGCGAGCGUUAUCCGGAUUUAUUGGGUUUAAAGGGUGCGCAGGCGGAAGAUCAAGUCAGCGGUAAAAUUGAGAGGCUCAACCUCUUCGAGCCGUUGAAACUGGUUUUC
rnacentral:rRNA from 1 species